rnacentral:rRNA from 1 species
GAAUUCGCCCUUAGAGUUUGAUCCUGGCUCAGAACGAACGCUGGCGGCAGGCCUAACACAUGCAAGUCGAGCGCGCCCUUCGGGGUGAGCGGCGGACGGGUUAGUAACGCGUGGGAAUAUGCCCAAAGGUAGGGAAUAGCCUCUGGAAACGGAGAGUAAUACCCUAUGUGCCCUUCGGGGGAAAGAUUUAUCGCCUUUGGAUUAGCCCGCGUUAGAUUAGGUAGUUGGUGGGGUAAUGGCCUACCAAGCCUACGAUCUAUAGCCGGUUUUAGAGGAUGAUCAGCAACACUGGGACUGAGACACGGCCCAGACUCCUACGGGAGGCAGCAGUGGGGAAUCUUGGACAAUGGGGGCAACCCGGA